CACAUGCCCUGGGGGCUCCCCCAGCCCGGCCAACCUGCCCCGGGGGGCUGUUGGGAGCGGCAGCUGGAGCAAUUGGUGGCCGUGCUCGGCAGCUGUCAGAAGGCAGAAGCACUUUCUCCUUGGGGGAAUGAUUUUUUUUUGGGCAAGUGAUGAGCUGCAGCACCAAACUCCCCUCGGUUGCUGAGUUUUGCAGAACGAUUAGAUUGGUCAGACAUCCUGUCAAGUUUCCUUGUCUUCUUUGGGCUUUUUUUCUUGCAUUCUG